UACGUAGGGGGCUAGCGUUGUCCGGAAUCAUUGGGCGUAAAGCGCGUGUAGGCGGUCCGGUAAGUCCGCUGUGAAAGUCGAGGGCUCGAACCCUGGAACUGCACUGGAUACUGCCUUGCUAGAGUACUGGAGAGGGAACUGGAAUUUACGGUGUAGCAGUGAAAUGCGUAGAUAUCGUAAGGAAGACCAGUGGCGAAGGCGAGUUCCUGGACAGUUACUGACACUGAGGCACGAAGGCCAGGGGAGCAAACGGG
rnacentral:rRNA from 1 species